rnacentral:rRNA from 1 species
GGCCCUACGGGGUGCAGCAGGCGCGAAAACUUUACAAUGCUGGGAACAGCGAUAAGGGAACCUCGAGUGCCAGGUUACAAAUCUGGCUGUCGUGAUGCCUAAAAAGCAUUAUAUAGCAAGGGCCGGGCAAGACCGGUGCCAGCCGCCGCGGUAACGCCGGCGGCUCGAGUGGUAACCGUUAUUAUUGGGUCUAAAGGGUCUGUAGCCGGCCGGAUAAGUCUCUUGGGAAAUCUGGCAGCUCAACUGUCAGGCUUUCAGGGGAUACUGUCUGGCUCGAGGCCGGGAGAGGUGAGAGGUACUUCAGGGGUAGGGGUGAAAUCUUGUAAUCCUUGAAGGACCACCAGUGGCGAAGGCGUCUCACCAGAACGGACCUGACGGCAAGGGACGAAAGCUAGGGGCACGAACCGGAUUAGAUACCCGGGUAGUCCUAGCCGUAAACGAUACUCGCUAGGUGUCGGCCACGGUGCGACCGUUGUCGGUGCCGUAGGGAAGCCGUGAAGCGAGCCACCUGGGAAGUACGGCCGCAAGGCUGAAACUUAAAGGAAUUGGCGGGGGAGCACCACAACGGGUGGAGCUUGCGGUUUAAUUGGAUUCAACGCCGGAAAUCUUA